rnacentral:rRNA from 1 species
AGCUUGCUUUCUUUGCCGGCGACCGGCGCACGGGUGAGUAACACGUAUCCAACCCGCCCUUUACUCGGGGAUAGCCUUUCGAAAGAAAGAUUAAUACCCGAUGGCAUAAUGAUUCCGCAUGGUUUCAUUAUUAAAGGAUUCCGGUAAAGGAUGGGGAUGCGUUCCAUUAGGUUGUUGGUGAGGUAACGGCCCACCAAGCCUUCGAUGGAUAGGGGUUCUGAGAGGAAGGUCCCCCACAUUGGAACUGAGACACGGUCCAAACUCCUACGGGAGGCAGCAUG